UCAGGGUCAGGGUGACUGUCCAAGCCUUUCAUAAGUCUGGUGCUGCAGCUUAAAAUAGCCCCUUGAUUGCAGAGGAGGCUGUGGCUGGGGGUACUCGUCGGCCUGGCUGGCUCUUACACAGCUCUGGGAUGAGCUGCUCUGGCCAGGACUGAUGUGACCGUCUGGAAUGAAUCUCCCAGCUCAUCCUGAGCUCCCAGAUACCUGUCCCACAGCACCCACCAGGGCAGUGACAGCAAACCCAGCACAGCAGCCUGCAGCCCUGGGCACCCAGCAGUGUGGAUACAUCCAGAUGAAGAAGGCUGGAUAAUGCCAUUCCAGCAUGGCCCAGCUGCUGACACAGGUUCCACCAAGUGCAGAAACAGUCCCCACCCCGGGAGAUGCCAGCAGGGACCUGGUCCAGCUGCUCCUGCCCAGGUCACAGCUCUGGCCUGAUCCUGAUGCCUCCCUCUGCACAGCAGCAUCCUUCCCUAAGGACAAGGCUGGUCGCUAAAGACAGGAUUCCUAAAUGAGCCUGAGAAUUACACAUGCAAAUCCCAAAGGCCUGCAAUUGGGAACAUCUGAGCAACAAAUUGUCCUUGCUAAAGACGCUGUUGGAGCCAAAAAGCCUACAGAUUUCAGGCCCGCUGUAAACACUUUUAAAAUCAAAGAUCAGCCUGUCUGCACUGCUCGUGUUUGCCAGGUGCCAGUUCUCUUCUCGAGAAACUUUCUGCUUGAGCAGAGAGGGGACACGGGGACAGGAGAGGGGACAGCCUGUGGCUCCGGGCUGCUCCUCCCGUGCCCUUCCCUGGGGCCGCAUCCUGCCGAGAUGCUGAGCCCGUGUCCUGAGAGGCGGCGGGGAGGGCAGGAGGGAAGGAGGGAAGGAGGGAAGGAGGGAAGGAGGGAAGGAGGGAAGGAGGGAAGGAGGGAAGGAGGGAAGGAGGGAAGGAGGGCCAGGCUGUGCGUGCAGAUGUUCAGGAAAGCGCUGCAUUCAGCCAGACCUGCUCCCCAGCCCGCCGUGCCCCCCUCCUCCCGCAGCGCUCCUCAUCCUGGGAUUUUUUUAAGCUGCCCGGACUGACCCUCAGGGGCUCAGCCAGCAUCUCCCUGACUCCGGGGCACUCGGGAUGAGCAGGGAGAGGAUUGCUCAGACCUGACCUUCCCGUCCUUCCUCCCUCACCCCCAGAGAUUGGGCAGCAUCAGCACCUCCAGGCACUGACCCAUCUGCCAGCACUGGCUCUGCAGCCAGGUUCUAUCCCCGUGGCUGGACAGACACAUUUCUGCUGCACCAGGAGGCUGCACCUGGUGCUGCCCAGCACUGUGAGUUGCAGAAUUGCUCUUCUGUGCAGGCAUUUGGGGAUCAGGUGCUGGUUUAGCUGUGGGCCAAAGCCUGCAGCGUUUGGAGAACAAGCUGGUGGGGGACUGGGGAGAGAUGACUUUUCUGGGCAGGGAGGUGACAUUCUGAUUGAUUCAUUCCUAUCUCACUAUGACUGUCUGACCAGUAACAGGGGAUUCUUGGUGUGCAAACAGCCCCUGGAUUCUUCCCACCUCACACACAUACCUAUCUAUUCCCUUUCACUUUACCCAGAAAGGAGGGUAACGUGAAAUUUGCACCCUGCUCCAAGGUGAUGCAGACAGUUUAACUACCAACGGGUUAAAUCCAGCUUGUGCUUUCCCGUGGGCUGCCUGCUACUGUGGGCAAAGCAAGCAGGAUUCCUCCAGUGACGUUAAAUGUGCUCCCAAAGCUGGUGGGCUACCGAGCUCCCAGCCACGGCUCACUGCAGCAGCAGCAGCAGCAGCAGCACAGCACACCAGGGACGGCUCCGUGCCACAAGUGUCAGCCCUCAGCUCUCCCCGGGGCUGCUCAAGGCACAGCUUUGGGAUGGGGAGGGAUGCAGGCAAGAGGAGCUGGAGGUCAGGAGAAGCACUUGUGUCAAACACGUAUCAAAGCAGGGGUGCCCGUAGUGGCAGGGCUGCUCUCGGGGUUUCAGGACUUGUGUGCAGCCCAAAAGCUGUUGUGAAAUAAUGCUGCUUUGGGGUUCCUACCAGAACAAGUGGGGUUUGGCUGGGGCUUGGGCAAAUCCCCAUUCAAAGAGAAGAACACCCACUGCUUUAAGAGGACAGGGACAAGCUUGCCUGUAUUUUAAACACAUGGGAAAGUCCUGUUAAGUUUAAGAGGGGCUGGGUUUUUAAAUAUGGAUUGUAAUUUUUGGCUUAACCCACUAUUUCCCAACCAGGCCAUGGUCCCCUCGCUCCCUCUUCCCGCGAGGCAAACGCACCUGCACGCGCUCUUGAAAAU